CACAAUUUGUUAUUUCAACAAGCCUAAAGACCUUUACUUAUGGGUAAUCCUCGAGGAAUAGGAGUACACUUAAGGGGAUGAGCCAUUGUCAAGACCAUUCCGGAAAGAGUCUCUUCCAUGUUAACCUUGUCUCCUUCUAUUUUCCAAUCGAAACACUGAAUCAUCAUUCCAAUGGCUGUUCCUAGAAAGAUAUAAGCUAGAUUUGUUCCAGGACAUCCUCUCCUUUCGCUACCAAAAGGAAGGAACAUAGAACCCUCCCAUCACACAUCCUUCUUGGAGCCUCCUUCCGAAGACAGGGAUUGGCGGGUACAAUCUUAGCCCUUCUUUGACCACCCCUUGCAAAUAAGGAAGGUUUGGUAGGUCUGUUUCCUGAAUCAACCUUGAUUUUCCUACGACAGAAUCGAUUUCUUCUCUCAUUCUCUCCAUAGUGCUAGGGUUGUUAAUGAUUUCUGCCAUUUUCCACUGUAUUGUUUGCUUGGAUGUGUCCGUGCCUCCAAGGAAAAGCUCCUGCAAGUUAUAAACUCUUUUAAAAUACCUACCCUUAUCUGAACUAGAAGCUACUCCUACCCUUCAACAGGAGAACCCGACUGCCUCGCCAAACUUUAUCCCCACUUUACCCACUUUAGUAGAUUCACAACCUACUCCCACUGCAGCAUCUAUUAUGGAGUCAUCUCCAUCAACCGUUACCAACACUGAGGUUAGUGAAACUUUAGUCGUUGGUCCUCAAGCCACAACACAUACACCCUUUGCAUUUGAGAGCCCUGCUCAGUUCAAAGGGUCAAGAGAUGUGGGAGUGGAUGAAGAUGGGACCGAGCCUUCUAGCUCGCUCAGCUUGACAAGAGGUGGGAGGGAAACAAAACCCCCUAGCAAAUACCAAGACAUGGAAUGGAAGACGGUUCGAGGGAGAGGGAAGCGUGGCCGCCGCGGUCGUGGUUCUUAUCACUAGUUAUUGCCUUUCAUUACAGUGUUGGUUAUUCUAGUCAACUUUGGUUGUUUCAUUGGUUGAGAUUCAAUCUUUUCAUGCAAACUUUAUCAAACUAUAAGACUCAUGUCUUAUCUUGUAACAUUUAUAGUUUUUUAAUAUGAAAGCCCUUUUUCAAAAAAAAAAAAAAAAACUCUUUUAAAAUACCUAUAUUUAAUAGGAAAAUUUUCUUAAAAGAUAUUAAAUUGGUUCUUUUUUACUAAAAACACAUAA